rnacentral:tRNA from 1 species
GGCGCUAUCGUCUAGCGGUCUAGGAUAUCGGGUUUUCACCCCGGAGAUCGUGGGUUCGAAUCCCACUGGCGCUACCA